GGGGAUUAGCUCAGCUGGCUAGAGCGCCUGCCUUGCACGCAGGAGGUCAUCGGUUCGACUCCGAUAUUCUCCACGAU
rnacentral:tRNA from 1 species